rnacentral:rRNA from 1 species
UGAGACUUUAAGUCUCCUGAAGGAACGUUGAAGACGACGACGUUGAUAGGUCGGGUGUGUAAGCGCAGCGAUGCGUUGAGCUAACCGAUACUAAUGAACCGUGAGACUUAACCUUACAACGCCGAAGGUGUUU